rnacentral:lncRNA from 1 species
NAGGGCAAAACUCCAUCUCAAAAAAAAAAAACAAAGUAGGAAUGACUAUUGAGUUUAUCCAAUUUUUUUUUUUUUAAUUAUUAUUGACUGGGCAUGGUGGCUCACACCUGUAAGCCUGGAACUGUGGGCGGCUGAGGUGGUGGAUCAUUUGAGGUCAGGAGUUCGAGACCAGCCUCGCCAACAGGCUACUAAACAUAUCUACUAAACAUAUCUACUAAAAAUACAAAAUUUAGCCAGGCAUGGUAGCACACACCUGUAGUCCCAGCUACUUGGGAGGCUGAGGCAGAAGAAUCGCUUGAACCCAGGAGGUGGAGGUUGCAAUGAGCUGAGAUCGCACCACUGCACACCAGCCUGGGCAACAGAGCGAGACUCCAUCUCCAUCUCAAAAAAAAAAAAAUUAUUAUUUAUUUGCUGUGUUGUAAAGUAAUAACAAUAAUAACUAACACGUAGCACUUUUUUUAAACACAAUCCUCAAAAGCUCACAUAAUGUAGCACUUUACAGGCAAGACAUUCUAUAUUAGCACAUUUAAUCGUCACAGCUUAUAAAAACAGACCCUUGGCCGGGCGCGGUGGGCUCACGCCUGUAAUCCCGACACUUUGGGUGACUGAGGCGGGUGGAUCACAAGGUCAGGAGUUCAAGACCAGCCUGGCCAAGAUGGUGAAACUCUGUCUCUGUUAAAAAUACAAAAAAUUAGCUGGACGUGGUGGCGGGUGCCUGUAAUCCCAGCUACUCAGGAGGCUGAGGCAGAGAACUUCUUGAACCCAGGAGGUGGAGGUUGCAGUGAGCCAAGAUCGCACCACUGUACUCUAGCCUGGGUGACAGAGCAAGACUCCAUCCCAAAAACAAAACAAAACAAAAAAAGCAGACCCACAUAAAUAUAUCCAACUGAUUUUUUACAAAAGUAUAAAAGCAAUUUAAUAGGGUUCACCCCUGUGAUCCCAACACUUUGAGAGCAUGAGGUGGGAGGACUGCUUGAGGAUCACUUGAGCCCAGAAGUUUGAGACCAGCCUGGGCAACAAAGCGAGAUCCCAUCUGUACAAAAAAAUGAAAAAGUCAGCCAGCCACGGUGGCACUGUCUGUAGUUCUAGCUCCUAGCUAAUUAGAAGGCUCAGGCGGGAGCUCAGGAGUGCGAGUGCAAGGUUACAGUGAAUUAUGAUCACAACUGCACUCCAGCCUGGGCAACAGAGUAAAACCCUGUCUCUUUAAAAAAAAAAAAAAAAAAAAAAGGCAAUUUAAUAAAUUACAUAAAUUGAAAAAAAGAGACUUUUAAAUAAAUGCUACUGGAACAACUAGAUGCAUAGGCAAAACAAAAAACAAAACAAAACAAAAAAAACACCUUGCUUACACCUUAUAAAAUAUUAACUCGGCCGGGUGCGGUGGCUCAUGCCUGUAAUCCCAGCACUUUGGGAGGCCGACGCAGGUGGAUCACCUGAGGUCUGGUGUUCAAGACCAGCCUGGCCAACAUU